rnacentral:rRNA from 1 species
UACGGAGGGGGCUAGCGUUGUUCGGAAUUACUGGGCGUAAAGGGCUCGUAGGCGGCCUGCUAAGUCGAACGUGAAAUCCCCGAGCUCAACUCGGGAACUGCGUCCGAUACUGGUUGGCUUGAAUCCGGGAGAGGGAUGCGGAAUUCCAGGUGUAGCGGUGAAAUGCGUAGAUAUCAAGAGGAACACCUGAGGUGAAGACGGGUUGCUGGGCCAACACUGACGCUGAGGCGCGAAAGCCAGGGGAGCAAACGGG